ACCUUCCUCUCCCUAUCACUUCUCUCUCGGUUAUCCCAUCUCAUUCUCUUUUCUUUUCCCUUACCGACAAACCUUCUGCAUCUUCAUCUCAUCCAUGAAUCUAGAAAUUAAAACCCCUCUUCAACAAUAAUGGUGAAACUGGAAAAAUCAACAGGAGAAAUUCUCAUUUUUUAUCCUAUUCCCAAACCUUGUUCUUCAUCUUCUCCACAAAUUCCCGAGAUAACUGCAAAAGUUUAUUUCUCACCUUCAAAAAGAAAAAUCUUAUCUUCUGAACUAUGUUCAUCAUUGUUAAACAAACUCUUUACUUCAUCUCCUCAUGAUUUCUGAAAAUCCAAACUUUCCCAAUUUUAAAACCCUAAUAUAAUCGUUCACUUCCUCAAAUCUAUUCAAGGUCGUCAAUUGAUUAAUAAUUGGUGUUGAUUUUCAAUCAUUUGAAGAAAUUAAAAAGAACCCAAAAUAAAAACCCUAACUGGUGUUGGAUUUUUUUUGUGUCAUGGGUAAUUCUCAGUAUUACAUCUACAAACAGCUAAUUGCAAGCAUACCGGUAUGGACAUGUGCGAUUUGGCUACGGAGAGAAGGGACAAGAAGCUGUUCAAGAAAUUGUAUGCUGAGCAGAACUAGGGGUUUGGAAUGGGGUGUUGGUUACUACGAUUGAUAAAUUAACAAGUGAGGAGACCCCAACUUCAUUGUCUAUGGAAGAUCUAUGGUUAAUGAGUGGUAUUAGUUAGUCAAUAUGUCCUUUACAUUCAGUUCUGGUAAAGGGUAUGUUAUAACUUGGUUUUCGGGUUCUUGAAAAUUCUAUAAUGUUUUCACUGAUCCAAAUCUUACAUUAUAAGUUUGUAUUAUAGGAUUUACUAAUUCGUAUCUCAAAUCUAUUGAUCUCUUUUGUAUUAUAUUAGGACGUUGUGGACGAUUUGGUGUUGGUGUGAAGGUUUUCAGGAAGGAGGAUAAUGUUAUAAGAGUUUUUUUUUGGUGUCUAUGGAGGAUUAGAAGGUGGUUGUGUUUGUGUUGUAGGCGCUGGUGGACUAGGAAAGGCUAAUGGCGGAGGUAUAGGUGAUAGUGAUGGGCAUGAAUAGAUAUUGUAGAUUUGUGUCAUGUUGGUAUAGAUUAUGUGCACUCGCUAGCAUUUACAAGGGGUGGCGAGCUUUUACAUAUAAAAUAUGUGCUAGUAGUUUUCCAAACGCAAAUUUCUUGGGAACUAUAACUAGUCCAAAAUGUCAAAACAUUCACCAGAGCCAUAAGUCACUUUAAUGGUUCGCAUUCUACAUGAAUAUUUUUCUAAAUUUCA